CUUAGGAUGAACGCUAGCGACAGGCCUAACACAUGCAAGUCGAGGGGCAGCACAAGGAGCAAUCUGAGGUGGCGACCGGCGCACGGGUGAGUAACACGUAUGCAACCUGCCUGUAAGCGGGGAAUAACCCGUUGAAAGACGGACUAAUACCGCAUAAUACUAAAUUACUGCAUGGUAAUUUAUUUAAACAUUUAUGGCUUACAGAUGGGCAUGCGCAUGAUUAGCUAGUUGGAGAGGUAACGGCUCCCCAAGGCAACGAUCAUUAGGGGUUCUGAGAGGAAGGUCCCCCACACUGGUACUGAGACACGGACCAGACUCCUACGGGAGGCAGCAGUGAGGAAUAUUGGUCAAUGGACGAGAGUCUGAACCAGCCAAGUCGCGUGCAGGAAGAAUGUUCCCUAUGGAUUGUAAACUGCUUUUGCAGGGGAAUAAAGUGCAUCACGUGUGAUGUUUUGUAUGUACUCUGCGAAUAAGGAUCGGCUAACUCCGUGCCAGCCGCCGC
rnacentral:rRNA from 1 species